GGUUCUGUGGUGAAAUGGAUAUCACUUCUGACUACGGAUCAGACGUUUAGGGUUCGAAUCCUUACAGAACCGCCA
rnacentral:tRNA from 1 species